CAGUGCAGGGUAGCCUACCGGGCUCAGCCUGGUUAACCUCCCUGCCUUUCCCUUAUAACUUUUCUCUCUCUCUCUUUCUGGAGGAAGAAAUGCCUGGUAUUUGUGCCAUUUACUGCGUCCCUAAGAGGUUGAUCGACGUCUUAAAUGGCUUUAAUUUGCAGUAUACGUUGUCAAGCAUCUAGUGGAUAGCUUAUUCAUCACAAGUAAGACCCGUUCCUGAUAAAAAAGUAUUUUUUUAAGUUACUUCAGAAAGGUGGUCAUAUUGAACUACAGGUUUAUGAAAAGCGAUAAUCCGAUAAAAAGAUAGUGCAAAGAAAGGAAAAUUUUAUGGAGAAGAAAAGUGAGCGUUAUCCUGCAAAGAAGUUCAGCAUAUCACCGUGGCGAUUCUUGCACAUAUAAUUUUACUCUGCCUCUAAUUUGCGCAUUCAUAAUCCGAUCAACAACCAUUGAAUUUUGACAACAAUGGCGUUGACUUAACUAAGAACCCUUGUACGACCUCCUAAGAACCUUGAAGCAUGGCACUUCACAACAAGCUAUCGACGUCUGCUGGGAUGACCCAGGGAGAGACAUGUACCCGACGGAGUUGCACAGUAAUCCGAAACAGUGCGAAUGAUUUCACCUGACUUACGGCCAAUAUAACGGCUGAAAUAAAUGUUUGUACCCUAAGAUGGUAGUGAAAAGGGUCGGUCGUAGCAGGAGGUAUUCUUUAAACCCUUUAUGAAGACCCGCUAUCUGUUCAGUCGCUUUACCAUGGGCAGCAUUCCUAGACACCCCGAACUUGACUUGAAGUUCAAGAGGACGCAGAUUUAUAUUAUAAAACUGUGUUGCACAACAGCUCACCCA
rnacentral:lncRNA from 1 species